rnacentral:rRNA from 1 species
UACGUAGGGGGCAAGCGUUGUCCGGAAUUAUUGGGCGUAAAGCGCGUGUAGGCGGCUCGGUAAGUCUGCUGUGAAAGUCCAAGGCUCAACCUUGGAAAGCCGGUGGAUACUGUCGAGCUCGAGUCCGGAAGAGGCGAGUGGAAUUCCUGGUGUAGCGGUGAAAUGCGCAGAUAUCGGGAAGAACACCCGUGGCGAAGGCGGCUCUCGUGGGACGGUACUGACGCUGAGACGCGAAAGCGUGGGGAGCGAACAGG